CUGCAGAAUACUUUUGGUAUUUCUUCGUGACCCCUCCUAGCACUCGAUCUAUUCUCUAGGCCUUCCUGCUUCUCUCUGUGCCUGGGAAGCUGACCUAAAUGGACCACACCACCUGCCUUCCUUGCCCUCUGGCAAUCGACCAACAGAAGUCACCAGCAGGAGAUGAGAACAAGAAGAGAUGCAGAAGCUGUUGUCUUGGCCAGGAGGAGAGACACGUCUGCAGCGACAGACAGAAUCCAGCAUGGCGGUCGCUCAGUGGGUGUUGACGUCCUCGCCGGGUUUACCCGGGACUUCCAGGAGGGAGUCUUUCCUAGAGGCAAAGAGGAGCAGAAGCAAGUUAUGGGAACAAGGCGGCGAGUAGGAGAUAGAGAGAAGAAGUGAAAGAAACUGAAGAUGUCGUCUAAGGAUUUGGAGUGUACGCAGUGAAUCAGUAUUGUCUUCUCAGACUCAGAAGCCCAGGCCAGCUGCAUGGCCAGAUGGCCCACUGGCCCCAGUGGGCCUAUCCUGCUGGUCUGAGAACUACAAGCAAAGCAGAGAGAGAGAGAGAGAAAUUAUAGCCAGUGGCUGCUGCAACUCCAGCUGUUGAUCCAAUUCCAGACAUGAGCACAAUGAUGAUCUGGCUGCCAAAAGAAAAACACAUAUUCCAGCCAGAGAAAGAACUGCCAAGGAUCUGAUGAUUUGCUUCCAUAAAUGUGUUGUCUCAUGCACAUCCAGAAGAAAAGCGGAGCUCAGUUUAAUUCUUUUCUUUGGUAUUAUUUGAACUAUUUUGUGAUUUUGUGAUGACUUUGCUACCCAUAGUAUGUUUCAUGGACCAGCAGCAUCCAUGUCCCUCAGAACAGGUUAGAAAUGUAGAAACUUGGGCCCAGCCCCACACCUAGUAACUCAGACUCUGCAUUUUUAACAAGAGCCCCGGGUGAUUCACGUGCACCUUAGGAUUGAGAAGCAUCUGAAGGCAGACAAAGUCAGGGCAUAGGACCGCGUCCAGAGGAUUGGGUAGUGAACUUGGGGUCGAGAGAAGACCAGACUUGAGAUAUGAGACGUGUUCUAGACCCAGUUCUGCCGCUUACCCUCAGUGUGACCCUGGGGAAAUCACUCCCUCUCUUUAGGCAUUGAUUUCAUUUUCUUUAAAAUGGAGAAGAACGUUUGACUUCUUGACUUCAGGAUGGGGAUGAGGAUCGAAUGAGAUACUGUGUCCGGGAAAGGAUCUGUAAAGAAGAAUGCACUUUCCAAACGCAGGAGGAU
rnacentral:lncRNA from 1 species